ensembl:lncRNA
GUUGGUUUGCGCUAGAUUCUUUUAGCACCGAAAUACCUUCCGAUGAACCGCGAUGCUCAGGCUCUGAUUUACGCGCUGCAUUAUUUAUGGGGCUCUCCGGCUCCCGCCGCCGCCGCGAGGGGUGCGCAGGGGGCGCGGGGCUGCGCUGCGGGAGGCGGCGGGCGUGGAGGGGCGGGGGGGAGGGCGUCCCGCGCGGGCGCUGAGCGCGGCUACGAACGAACGGUCCGGGCACGGGGAGAGCGCGUUGGGCACCGCUCCGCGUGGGGUGAUCGCAACUCUCGAGAGCUGAGGAUGGAUCGGGAGGGGGAGGGAGCGGGGGGAAGGGGAAUCCCUUUCUGGGCUGCCAACGGAGCGUGGGAGAGGGGCUCGGAACGGAGGUCGGCCCGGCUCUGCCGGGAGAGACCCAGAUGUGCCGCGGCCGCUGUACGCGUUCCCUCCGAGCGGAGCCGGCGGGCAGCGGCGGACUCGCGUGGGCGCGUCCGUGGACUUUGCCGUACCUCGACGGGAUGCGCGCCGGGGUGUGAGCCCGGUAAUGCCUCUAACGGGAGCGCUAAUUACAGGAGGACGGUUUGGCAAAUGAAGUGAGAGGAUGCACCCCCAGCCCCGAGCACCAGAUGAACUUUUCCAAACACACGCGCACACACGCGGUAAUUUUGGUAUGCUCCCUCGGCCAAUCGCCGCGCUCAGCCCGAGCAUGCCUUACCCUAGCGCAGUCAAUUACCGGCGCUCCCCGGGCUCAUCAAUCACGGGGCGCCUCCAGUGAGGGGAGGAGCGAGCCUCCGACUAUCGAUCGCUGCAGUUUUGUCCUCCCCAGCCCCCAGCCUCGUUCACGGUCCCCUGCACAUAAAAUCUAAACCAGACUAUCCCGUUAAUAGCGGGAUUUAUCAAUGAUUGUGUACCCGGUGGUGAAUGUGGCCUCGUACAUAGGUGGCUUUUAGAAAUACACGGCAGGAAAAAAAAAAAAUAAGAAUGAUGUGAUUUGUUCGGGUAGGGGUUGGCGUGUUUUGCGUUGCUUUUCAGGAUGAGAGUGAUGAUUUUAACUUUUUUUGUUUUUUUUUUUAACUUUAAGAAAAUGACUCAGGGGCAGUUGCAGAUAUUUGGCCUGAUUUUAAUAGGAGCGGGGAAUGAGCUCCAGAGGUCAAUAAAGCCCUCCAAAAUGAUGAAUGAUUGAGUACCUGUGAUGAUGAUAGUGAUUACCGGAGCAAUUAAACAGUUUGAUUAAAUGAGCCAUCAUAACAAUGAUGUCUGCGGGAAAUCAGCCCUCACAUAUAAAGAAAGAUAGCGUGGGGCUGACGGACGCCAGUGGGCAUCCCCCGAGCUCCGGCAGCACCCGGCCCGGCGGCUGCGGGCUGGAGAAGGGGAGAAGCGGCCCCGGUGUCGGCCCCGGUGUCGGCCGGAGCUGCCCUCGUUCGCGGCCCGGAGCCGGGCACGACCCCGCGGUGCUUUUCUGAGAGGAUCUCCUCCGAGAUUAGAGCUAAAUCCUAAGAGCAACCGAAUGGCUGCGCCUGGCUUUCCCGGGACUGGGAGGAGAGGUGAGUAGAAAGCCCUCAGUGUGCAGAUCUCUUUCGAGCAGUGGUGAAGUCGAUGCGUUUCGCAGGGAAAAGAGGGGACGCUCGUGCAGUAUUUUAUACUCCGUCGUAUAAAUCGGGAACGUAAUUCAGGAUAUUCAUGGUAAUGAAUGCUCGGCUAAUCCUUUGGGUGCGCGGAGACCUACAGAGCAGGAGGUUAUGCAAAUCUUUUCCUACUUUUACAGCUGUACGUUUCGAACAGAUUUUUGAGAGAUCUGCUCAGCGGUGAAUGCUAUUUGUUUUCUUGCGAUUAUUUUUUUCUUCUCUCUUCCCCCCACCCCCCAACCCCCCUACCCCGCCACAAGGAUGCCCGAGUUCCAAACUCCCGAGGCGUCCCUUCAUGGCGACGCAGCCCAUGCGGGAACCUCAGGGACGCGUUGUAAAUAUUUGCAGCUCCCAAACGGAUUUUGCAGCCGUGCCCCCUGCUGUGCCCGAGCGCGCCUCGCUCCGAGAGGGUCAGUGGCACCGAGAGGGGCUCUGUCUCUGUGCCGCGGCCGUGCAACGGUAAUCCGGUCCCGCUGAGGGCUCCGUGUGUUUGCUCAGAGCUCAGACUGGGAGAGAACUUCACCACUCUUCUUCUCAAAGAGAAGUUUUUUUACACGACUUUGCUCCCAUAGCAGAAGGCACGUCAUUGUUUAGGAUAUCAUUUUAGACUCGCUUUUAUUUUUCAUUUUUUUAUUUUUUAAUAAUUCUGUUUUUCACAGGAGCUCCUUUAAGUCCGAAUCUUCAGAGCAGAGAAUUGUUAGCCAGCAAUCUAUAAUCCAAGCUGGGAAGAAAAAAAAAAAAAAAAAAAAGAAAGAAAGAAAGGAAAGAAAGAAAGAAAGAAAAAAAGCAGCCAAAGAAUUUUUUUUUUAGCAGCGUUCUGUGCUGCUCCUUUCAUUUGCUCAGUUUGGCUUUUAUUUUUAAUUCCCCAAACCAACGACCCCCCCCGCGCUGCCUCGCCCCGCUGUGCGGGUGGGACAGGGACCAACUUUUAAAAAUGAUUUUUAACUUGAGAGAAAGUGAAAUUUCAUCUGGCAAACGAGGGGGGGGGGGGGGGGGGGCUUUCACGUUCCUCUUGUGUCUUUUUUUUUUCUCCUUGAAAAGAGUCGAAGCCUUUUUCCUCCUCACUAUCCCAGUGGAUUAAGGCACGCAGAGAACGCGGUUAUAAAGCGCUACAGUUUGACCAUUAAAAGAGAAUGUCAGUGCAGCGCCCUUCAGUGAAACGUUGCGCCGUAUUUCUUGUAAAACACGGCCAUUCGGGAAAAUUCAAUUGGCCAAUUUCCAUUUCUCGUGCAUCACUUUCAGGGCAGAGGCUGAUCCCAGGACAAGUAUCGGCCCCAAAGCCCAAAGAGAAAUGAGGUGUCCGGUGUGGAAGUGCAUCUCAGUCAACAGCCAGCUCCUUUGGCCGGGGCUGGAAAUGGUUUUAACAGGCGGUAAAAUUUCAUCUUGUGGUGUCAAAUUGGGGUCAGUUUGGGGUUAGCGCUCUCAGUGUCCGAGAAGGAGCUGUCCAGCUGUGUGGGGAUUCAUUAAGGGCAAAAGAUCCGUUUCAAGAAAAACAAUACAAAGACAAUCAGAGAGCUAAAGAUCCUCUUCAAAUCGCAUUUUACAAGUGCACCAGAACAAAUAUGGACGCUGAAACCUAUUCCCUUCAAACUCCCAAAUCGGCUUCUUAGCCCUCGGAGGGAGGGAAAAUCCGCUGCAGCCCGGCCGGGUCUGCUUCCAAUCACCGCCCCGAGGUGCGCCGGGCCCCGCGCCGCCCUCGCCCGCUCCCCUCUCCCCUUCGGCGCAGCGCUGCGGAGCGAUGGCACCACAACAGGUAACAUCCCGGAAUGCGUCCCCCGGUGUGUCUGAGCCACUGCUGUGCGUGUGCCCGUGGGCGUGCAGCGGGAGCUUCCAUGCGAAUAGAAAGUUUGUUUUCGAGGGGACAGACCGUGCUUGUAUGAAACCCGCUCGCAUCCUUCGCAAAUGUCCCGCAGCCCUCUCAAGCAGCGCUGUGCUCCGAUAGAUAACGUGGAGUGGAUGUGCUGUGCGGUUCCCAGCAUCUGUGGGAAGCACCUAUUGCUAAUCUGGUUUAUUAAAUUCGCGUGGUUUAAAUCCUCUUAGCGCCCCUACAUCUGUUAGAACAAUUGACGCCUUGCUGCAGGGACAAAUAACUCCGGCCAUAAUCUCGUUUGUAACUUUAUUCAGUGUUUGUUUGUUUGUGCGCGGAGUUCGAGUAUUUGGGGGCGAUGCCAUUGUAUUCGGGAAUAUACCGUACAGCCAGAGCCGGAAUGGAUGGGCUGAGGGCAGAGCAGAGCGGAAUGAGUAAUUCCGAAUAUUGGAAGUGGCAUUUUAUCCCGAACCACCGUUCUAGGAGACGUGUCAGAGUUAAUGAAGAAAGCAAUCCACGUGUUAAUGCGUCUCCGGGCUUACAGCGUAACCGGGAUCCUGUGCAAAAUCCACGGGAUUUGUUCUUUCUGAUUCUCUCCCAAGACAACGCGUGGGGUGCAGAUAGUACCUCUGCGGUUUUGGAGUCAGGAUUAUUCCCCAGCUCAGACUCCCACCUCCGAAAUCGCCCUUUGCACCCUCUCCCCCCCCCCCCGUGGGCUCGACUCUUAGGGCCACUCCUGUCUCUCUCAGCCCACCUCGGCCCCCCGACCCCCCUUCCCGGGCUCCGGCGGCCGCCCGGCUCCCAGGUUCCGUCCCGACCGCCCCGGCGGAACGCCGCACGUCUGAGCUCCGCGGAUCGUCGGAUUCACGGAGCUCCUCACCCCGACCCCCCGCCUGCCCGCCGCGCUCUCCUCUUUGCAGCGACCUAUUCUUUUGAGAAAACCUUUGCAGCCCAGAAAGUCAAUGGUAGCCCAUCGCGGUGAACUUUUCCUGACCUCGGCUGCGGUAUGGCUGCGGUCUUUGGGAGCUGGAUUAGGAGGAGGUUCAUUGCUUACCUGUUAACUUCCCUUUCAACUCUUGCUUCCACCCCUCCCCCUCUUUUUACAAAACCCCGACGCAACCUCCUCUCUCCGGGAGCGAAGCGGCUCCUCACCCUCUCCCGAGCCCUCACGGUCCCCCCGGGAGGCCGAGACCUGCCCGGGCCCCGUGGGCCGCCCCCCCAGGCCGUGUCCCCGCGGCCGCGG